UUCGUGCAGUUUCAUGAUUCC
rnacentral:piRNA from 1 species